AGCCCUGAGGAGAAGAAAAUGGAGAAAUGGGAAAUACAGACAUUCACCACCAGGGGACACUGCCAUCUAGUGCCGGGGAUCCUUCCAAACCCCAAGGCUUCAGCUUAGUUAAUGAGUGUUAUCUGCUAUAACUUGUCCAUGGUACCUUUGCUUGUGUGUGCACACUCCUCCAGCUCUAAGAUGUGAGAUUCGCUGGGCUGCUUCUAUCCCAGAUUCCUUUUAAGUCACCAAGAAAAAAAAAAUCAUGCCUGCUAACUAAUAUACCUGAGAGGAAAAUGACAC